GACGUAGGGUCCAAGCGUUGUCCGGAUUUACUGGGCGUAAAGAGCGCGUAGGCGGUCCGUUAAGUGUAGUGUGAAAGCUCCGGGCUCAACUCGGAAAUUGCUCUGCAUACUGGCGGACUCGAGGACGGAAGAGGUUUGUGGAAUUCCUGGUGUAGCGGUGAAAUGCGUAGAUAUCAGGAGGAACACCCAUGGCGAAGGCAGCAAACUGGUCCGUAUCUGACGCUGAGACGCGAAAGCGUGGGUAGCAAACAGG
rnacentral:rRNA from 1 species